UGAAAGCUGAUAUAUAAUUGAGAUUCUAAUUCUACUAUCAUCUUCACAAGUAAUCAAAUCAAAAGCACGGGUUCCCCAAUUAGUGUUCACGGUUGGUCCAUAAAAUUCUAGAGAACGAAGCACAAAAAAAGAAGGAAUAUAUACACUAAUGACAGGGACACUUGCACAACAGAAUCAACAAUGCGAGGAAUGGGGAUGUUUCUGGCAAGAUCAAGCCCAACACUACUUGUGUCUGCGAAAAAGGUCUUUUGUUUGAGCAUUUUUGAAGGCACUGCAGGCUAAGAGAUAGACACAUAUAAGCACCACCACUGCCACAAUAAGAAUGAUAUUUGCUUUUCUCCAUUCUUUCCUCAGGUUCCCUAACAAACCAGCUUUGCAA
rnacentral:misc_RNA from 1 species